UCAAGCUGAAAAGAGCGCAAGGGGAAUGCCUUGGCAUCAGGAGCCGACGAAGGACGUGACAAGCUGCGAUAAGCCACGGGGAGGAGCAAAUAUCCGUUAUAUCCGUGGAUUUCCGAAUGGGGGAACCCGCUCAAGCAAUACUUGAGCAUCGUGCGUUGAAUCAAAUAGGCGUACGAAGGGAACGGCCUGAACUGAAACAUCUAAGUAGGGCCAGGAAAAGACAUCAACCGAGAUUCCGCUAGUAGUGGCGAGCGAACGCGGAGGAGGCCAAACCGAGGGACGCAAGUUCUUCGGGGUUGCGGACAGACAUCAAGACCAGAGGAAAUUAAGAGAACGGCGUGGGAAAGCCGGCCACAGAAGGUGAGAGCCCUGUAUCUGAAAAUGAAGACUGGCAGUCUGGAUCCAGAGUACCGCGGGACACGUGAAACCCCGUGGGAAACCGGGUGGACCACCAUCCAAGCCUAAAUACUACCUGAUGACCGAUAGAGGAGCAGUACCGUGAGGGAAAGGUGAAAAGGACCCCGGGAGGGGAGUGAAAGAGAACCUGAAACCUUGUGCUUACAAGCAGUCAAAGCACGUUAAAGUGUGAUGACGUACUUUUUGUAGAACGGUCCGGCGAGUUAUAGUAACGAGCAAGCUUAAGGUAUUGAGUACCGGAGGCGAAGCGAGAGCGAGUCUGAAUAGGGCGUAAAGUUCGUUGCCAUAGACCCGAAACCGGGUGACCUAUCCAUGAGCAGGCUGAAGUGAGAGUAAAAUCUCAUGGAGGGCCGAACCGACCCCCGUUGCAAUGGUGGCGGAUGACUUGUGGAUAGCGGAGAAAUUCCAAUCGAACUCGGAGAUAGCUGGUUCUCCCCGAAAUAGCUUUAGGGCUAGCGUUAUGUUAGAUUACCGGAGGUAAAGCACUGAAUGGUGGCGGGGCCGAUAAGGUUACCAAGACCUAUCAAACUCUGAAUGCCGGAUAAUUGAUGCAUAGCAGUCAGACAGCGUGAGAUAAGUUUCGUUGUCAAAAGGGAAACAGCCCAGACCCACAGCUAAGGUCCCAAAUUCAUGCUAAGUGGAAAACGAUGUGGAAUUGCGAAAACAACCAGGAUGUUGGCUUAGAAGCAGCCACUCAUUAAAAGAGUGCGUAAUAGCUCACUGGUCGAGUGACUCUGCGCGGAAAAUAUAACGGGGCUAAGCAUGAAACCGAAGCUUGGGCUUGUCGUAAGACAGGGGUAGGGGAGCGUCGAGUAUGGGGUGAAGUCAGAGCGGAAGCACUGGUGGACUGUACUGGAGUGAGAAUGCCGGAAUGAGUAGCGAGAAUUAUGUGGGAAUCAUAAUGGCCGAAAAUCUAAGGUUUCUUGGGGAAGGUUCGUCCGCCCAAGGUAAGUCGGGAGCUAAGCUCAGGCCGAGAGGCGUAGGCGAUGCACAUACGGUAGAAAUUCCGUAACCACCGAAACUUAAACAGAGGGACACUUCGAAAUAGCGGAACCCGGGCGUUGGUUGACCCGGGCGUAAGGGAGCGAAAUUAGAGUAGCGAAGUCCGCGAUGUUCGGAGGCGAGAAAAGCUCUGAGGUAUGCUAAGGUGCCCGUACCGCAAACCGACACAGGUAGAUGAGGAGAGAAUCCUAAGGCCAACGGGAGAAGGGUUGUUAAGGAACUCGGCAAAUUGACCCCGUAACUUCGGAAGAAGGGGAGCCUCGAAAGAGGCCGCAGUGAAUAGGCCCAAGCAACUGUUUACCAAAAACACAGGUCUAUGCUAAAUCGAAAGAUGACGUAUAUGGGCUGACGCCUGCCCGGUGCCGGAAGGUUAAGAGGAGAUGUCAGGCAACGAAGCAUUGAAUUUAAGCCCCGGUAAACGGCGGCCGUAACUAUAACGGUCCUAAGGUAGCGAAAUUCCUUGUCAGGUAAGUUCUGACCCGCACGAAUGGCGU
rnacentral:rRNA from 1 species